rnacentral:rRNA from 1 species
AUACGGAGGGUGCAAGCGUUAAUCGGAAUUACUGGGCGUAAAGCGCUCGUAGGCGGCUUGUUAAGUCGGGUGUGAAAGCCCCGGGCUUAACCUGGGAACUGCAUUCGAUACUGUCUAGCUAGAGUAUGGUAGAGGGAAGUGGAAUUCCGGGUGUAGCGGUGAAAUGCGUAGAUAUCCGGAGGAACAUCAGUGGCGAAGGCGACUUCCUGGACCAAUACUGACGCUGAGGCGCGAAAGCGUGGGGAGCAAACAGGAUUAGAAACCCGGGUAGUCC